GACGAACGCUGGCGGCGUGCUUAACACAUGCAAGUCGAAUGGAAAGGCCCUGCUUUUGUGGGGUGCUCGAGUGGCGAACGGGUGAGUAACACGUGAGUAACCUGCCCUUGACUUUGGGAUAACUUCAGGAAACUGGGGCUAAUACCGGAUAGGAGCUCCUGCUGCAUGGUGGGGGUUGGAAAGUUUCGGCGGUUGGGGAUGGACUCGCGGCUUAUCAGCUUGUUGGUGGGGUAGUGGCUUACCAAGGCUUUGACGGGUAGCCGGCCUGAGAGGGUGACCGGCCACAUUGGGACUGAGAUACGGCCCAGACUCCUACGGGAGGCAGCAGUGGGGAAUAUUGCGCAAUGGGCGGAAGCCUGAUGCAGCAACGCCGCGUGCGGGAUGACGGCCUUCGGGUUGUAAACCGCUUUCGCCUGUGACGAAGCGUGAGUGACGGUAAUGGGUAAAGAAGCACCGGCUAACUACGUG
rnacentral:rRNA from 1 species